AUGUACGCCCGUACGCGCCGGUUUCCAGCGCUGUCCGCCCACCUGACGGCUGCUCGCUACGUUUUGUUAGCG
rnacentral:sRNA from 1 species